rnacentral:rRNA from 1 species
CGGUUGAUCCUGCCGGACCCGACUGCUAUCGAAAUGGGACUAAGCCAUGUUAGUCGAACGUCUUUUAACUAUGUGAAGGGCGUGGCGUACGGCUCAGUAACACGUUGUCAAUCUACCCUGAAGACGUGGAUAACCCCGGGAAACUGGGAUUAAACCACGAUAGAUCAAGAUUUCUGGAAUGGAUUUUGAUUCAAAGGAAGGAUGAGCAUGUUCAUCUAUUUGCCUCAGGAUGGGACUGCGACCGAUCAGGUUGUUGGUGGAGUAAUAGCCCACCAAGCCAGUAACCGGUACGGGCUUUGAGAGAAGGAGCCCGGAGAUGGACACUGAGAAAAGAGUCCAGGUCCUACGGGGCGCAGCAGGCGCGAAACCUUCGCAAUGCACGAAAGUGCGACGAGGUUAUUUCGAGUGCUAUCCGCUGAGGAUAGCUUUUGUCAGGUGUAAAUAGCCUGGAGAAUAAGGGGAGGGCAAGUCUGGUGUCAGCCGCCGCGGUAAUACCAGCUCCCCGAGUGGUCGGGACGAUUAUUGGGCCUAAAGCAUCCGUAGCCUGCUUUGCAGGUCUUCUGUUAAAUUCAACGGCUUAACCGUUGAGCUGCAGGAGAUACCACAAGGCUAGGAGGCGGAAGAGGUAGACGGUACUCCAUGGGUAGGGGUAAAAUCCUCUGAUCCAUGGAAGACCACCAGUGGCGAAGGCGGUCUACCAGAACGCGCUCGACGGUGAGGGAUGAAAGCUGGGGGAGCGAACCGGAUUAGAUACCCGGGUAGUCCCAGCUGUAAACGAUGCUAGCUAGGUGACGGAGUGGUUUCGUACCAUUCCGGUGCCGCAGGGAAGCCGUUAAGCUAGCCGCCUGGGGAGUACGGUCGCAAGACUGAAACUUAAAGGAAUUGGCGGGGGAGCACCACAAGGGGUGAAGCCUGCGGUUCAAUUGGAGUCAACGCCGGGAACCUUACCGGGAGCGACAGCAGGAUGAAAGUCAAGUUGAAGCCUUUACUAGACAAGCUGAGAGGAGGUGCAUGGCCGUCGCCAGCUCGUGCCGUGAGGUGUCCUGUUAAGUCAGGCAACGAGCGAGACCCUUGCCGUUAAUUGCCA